AUUGAACGCUGGCGGCAGGCCUAACACAUGCAAGUCGAACGAGUGGCGGACGGGUGAGUAAUGUCUGGGAAACUGCCUGAUAGAGGGGGAUAACUACUGGAAACGGUAGCUAAUACCGCAUACCAUCGGAUGUGCCCAGAUGGUAUUAGCUAGUAGGUGGGGUAAAGGCUCACCUAGGCAACGAUCCCUAGCUGGUCUGAGAGGAUGACCAGCAACACUGGAACUGAGACCCGGUCCAGACUCCUACGGGAGGCAGCAGUGGGGAAUAUUGCACAAUGGGCGAAACCCUGAUGCAGCCAUGCCGCGUGUGUGAAGAAGGCCUUCGGGUUGUAAAGUACUUUCAGCGAGGAGGCGUUACUCGCAGAAGAAGCACCGGCUAACUACGUGCCAGCCGCCGCGGUAAUAC
rnacentral:rRNA from 1 species